AAGUCACCUCAUUAACAUAACAAAAGGAGCAGGAAAGAGAAUCUUUCUGAUGGUACCACAUGAUUAACCUCAAGCCGAUGUUGAAACCUAAGCUGCUGGGAGAGGGGCAGGAGAGAAGAAAGUUCCCCAAACAGAGCUCAGCCUCUCGCCCAACUCUUUACUCCUCCUGAUCAGACUGAAGUGCAAUCAAAGGAAUCGGGAUUCUUGCCGAGUGUUUUCUCUUCCUUCAGAAAGAGUCUUCUCGUCCCUCUUCCAUUUCCCCAUAAUAAUUCCUCGUCUAAGCCCUCAUUGCUUGAUGUCUCCAUGCUGCAGAGCUGUCUCACCACAAGGAUCUUUGUCUUCUAUAUCCUGACACCUCUGGAAGAUCCUGAGGAAGAAAUAUGACAUGUGAGAAACUUCCUGCCUUCCUUCCCGCCUCUGAGGAUUCGUGCACAGCACAAUAGAGUUUUUUGCAACCAGCUUCCAGCUCCAUGCAUUCAAAGAUGGGAGAACUGCAUUCAAGGAUGGUAGAACUGGUUAGCUUUUUCUUCCUUCUUGGCAAAUUUUAGCAACAAGCGGGAGCAUAAUUUCCUUAGCUUUUAUUAAGUUUUUCAGAAGCAUGGGUGUUGAUCUUUUCUACUUUUCUUUGGGAAGCAAUUUCUGACUUGCUCCAGGUAUAAGAUGCAUUUGCCCAUGACGCUUCGGAAUUGAACCUCUAGACCACACAUGGCGAUGGUCAGCAGAAGCAGUGGGGCUCUGGGAAUUACACAAAAGGCUGAAAAUUCUCUUAUUCUGCUGCCAAGUUCUCCAUUUACCGCCGAGGCAACCUGGGGAAAAUAGUUGGACUCUUUGUGCUCAGUUUCCUACUCUGGAUUCAAGUUGGAGAAAACAAUGCCGAUUACAUUUUCAGCAGCUGCAAAUAAAAUUGGAAGUAAAGCUGUUUUGGUCUAAUGGUUCCUCCUUGGGAAAGCUUCUAGAAACCAACCAGACGUAACAGACAUGGAUGAGUCUUCAAAAUACUACGCUAAGUGAAUGUUGGACACAAAAGAACACAUACUGGGGGCUGGCCCUGGGGCCGAGUGGUUAAGUUCGUAUGCUCCGCUGCAGGCGGCCCAGUGUGUGGUUGGUUCGAAUCCUGGGCACGGACAUGGCACUGCUCAUCAAACCACGCCGAGGCAGCGUCCCACAUGCCACAACUAGAAGGACCCACAAUGAAGAAUAUACAACUAUGUACUGGGGGGGCUUUGGGGAGAAAAAGGGAAAAAUAAAAUCUUUUCAAAAAAACAGAACACAUACUGAAUGAUUCCAUUUAUAGAAAUAGUUCAGAAUAGGCUAAUCCAUAGAGAUAGAAAGUAUAUUAGUGGUUUCUAG
rnacentral:lncRNA from 1 species